AGCCAGCUGGGGACCCAGUCAAGAAAAGAUGACCACCUCUCAACCAAAAAGAGAAGGAACCCGCCCUGAUGGAACCUUGAUGUUGGACUUCUAGCCUCCAGACCUGGCAUGAAUCCCAUGACCUCAUCACCUCCCAAAGGCCUUCACUGCCAAAUACCGUAAUAUUGGGAGUUACGUUUCAACAUCUGAAUUUGGAAAGACACAAGUGAUCAGUCCACAACAGACCCACAUACUCUGAAUGGAAGCAGCAGGGAGAGAAAUGUCAGAGACCCAGGAGAAUUGGAAUUUUUAAUGCCUUAAAUGGAAACAUGUCCAAGCUCAAAAAUGCUACAAAAAAGAAGAGUCAAGAGAAAGAACAGGGAUUAAAAACUCCAAUUCUCCUGGUCAAUUUAAGGCAGAGAUGGGGAAUCUAUUCUUUGUACCUGCUUCUGGGAAACAGUGAAUGGUUCACACAAGAGGAAAAGAGAAGAUAUGAGCCUUCUUUAUACCUGGUUUCAGAUGGUCUGUUUCUUCAUUAGCUGGUGAGCUCCUGGGCAGGUUAUAAAAAGACUGUGACAUCCUUCUUGAAGACUUUCUCAUGAAUUCUCUCACUCUCACUUGAGCCCUGGGGGAAGCUGGCUGCCAUGUUGUGAGGCAGCCCAUGGAGAGGUCCAUGUGGGGAGAGACCAAGGCCUGCCAAAGAUGACAAGAGUGAGCCUGGAAACAGACCCCCCCACACACACACCAGCCAUCAGAUGAGACUGCAGCCCCACCAGGCAGUCUGAUAGCAAUGUGUAAGAGACUUGAAUCAGAGAUCUCCAGCAAAGCCAGAGCAAGAUUCCUGACCCAGUCAAACAGGAAGAUAAUAAAUAUUUGUUGUUUCAAAAUGCUCAAUACUUGUUGGGGUGCCUGAGUGGCUCAGUCGAU